rnacentral:tRNA from 1 species
GGUGGCUCAGUGGUAGAGCGCUUGCCUUACAUGCCUGAGAUCCUGGGUUCAAUUCCUCAGCACCA